CUACGGGAUGCACCAGUGGGGAAUAUUGCACAAUGGGCGCAAGCCUGAUGCAGCCAUGCCGCGUGUAUGAAGAAGGCCUUCGGGUUGUAAAGUACUUUCAGCGGGGAGGAAGGGAGUAAAGUUAAUACCUUUGCUCAUUGACGUUACCCGCAGAAGAAGCACCGGCUAACUCCGUGCCAGCAGCCGCGGUAAUACGGAGGGUGCAAGCGUUAAUCGGAAUUACUGGGCGUAAAGCGCACGCAGGCGGUUUGUUAAGUCAGAUGUGAAAUCCCCGGGCUCAACCUGGGAACUGCAUCUGAACUGGCAAGCUUGAGUCUCGUAGAGGGGGGUAGAAUUCCAGGGGUAGCGGUGAAAUGCGUAGAGAUCUGGAGGAAUACCGGUGGCGAAGGCGGCCCCCCUGGACGAAGACUGACGCUCAGGUGCGAAAGCGUGGGGAGCAAACAGGAUUAGAUACCCGUGUAGUC
rnacentral:rRNA from 1 species